CAGAGAACCUGCCCUUUUGGGUAGAUCUCCCCACCCUUUGUCUACUCUACCUUCGUUGCCUUGGCAGGCCCGUCGUAUGACCACCGGCUUCAGCUGGUCAGUGCCUGCCAGAGGACACUCCUAAUUCUUGAUUUUGUGUUGUCUGAGCAUCAUAUAUAAUCGUUA
rnacentral:misc_RNA from 1 species